rnacentral:rRNA from 1 species
UUCCCCUUUUAGGGGACAGAGUACCAGGUGGUGCAUGGUGGUCUUCAGCUGGUUUCGUGAGAUGUUGGGUAAAUUCCCGCAACGAGCGCACCCCUUGUUUUUAGUUCCCACCAUUCAGUUGGCCAUUUUAAGGGGACUCCCGGGGCCAACCCGGAGAAAGGGGGGGAGGACGUCAAUUCUUCAUCCCCCUUAUGCCUUGGGUUACACACGUGUUCCAAUGGAUGGUACAAAGGGCGCCAAGCCCGGGAGGUUUAGCCAAUCCCAAAAACCCAUUUUCAGUUCGGAUUGCAGGCGCAAAUUCGCCUGCAUGAAGCCGGAAUCGCUAGUAAUCGCGGAUCAGCAUGCCGCGGUGAAUACGUUCCCGGCCCUUGUACACACCGCCCGUCACACCACGAGAGUUGUACCACCCG